GACGUAGGGUGCGAGCGUUGUCCGGAUUUAUUGGGCGUAAAGAGCUCGUAGGCGGCUCGUCGCGUCGACCGUGAAAACCCGCGGCUUAACUGCGGGCUUGCGGUUGAUACGGGCGGGCUAGAGUUCGGUAGGGGAGACUGGAAUUCCUGGUGUAGAGGUGAAAUUCGUAGAUAUUGGGAAGAACACCGGUGGCGAAGGCGGCGACCUGGUCCGAUACUGACGCUGAGGCACGAAAGCGUGGGGAGCAAACAGG
rnacentral:rRNA from 1 species